GGGGACGUAGCUCAAUUGGGAGAGCACAGCCUUUGCAAGGCUGGGGUUGCCGGUUCGAUCCCGGUCGUCUCCA
rnacentral:tRNA from 1 species